CCUUGCAGUAAUAGUCGCGGCAUGAAACACAAACCAGUUUCAUAAAAGAAAACAUGGUCUGUAGUACGCUGUAGUGGAUGUUGGAUGAAGACAUGGCACCUGACAGUACAUUAGAGUCUGUGCUAGGUCUGUUGUUGGUGCUAGGUUAGUCCAGUGUGACAACACCACUCCUGCUUUUCGAUAUGGCAGAUUGGUGUGAGUUAGCCAAUGAGUGUUUGUGAAUGCUGAAGAUAACAUAGCACAUGUAUCCUACCCUUCAGAGCUUAUACUGGACCCACAUGGGUACCAUCACAAUCCUAGGGAUUGAGGCCAACAGCUGAUGAGCAUGUAUAUAAGUGGCCUGUGUGUUUCACUACAUAUGUGUAUAUAUCAGGCAUUUUUACUUAUAUGCUGUUGCUGCUGUCUUUUUUAUCUGUUCCAGAAAUACUUGAUA